UUACAUAUUAAGUUAUAAUUCAAAAAUUAUAUUAAAUAAAUUAUAAGUUUAGAACUAUAGUAUUGUGUCAUUUUUCCUCUUUUUUCUUUAUCAAAUCGUAUUUUGAAUGUUUCGUGUUCUUUUUCUCCGAACGUUGUUCUCAUUUUUUUCCUGCUCUCUCCCUCUCUUUCUCUUUUCCUUUUCCUUGCGAAUAAUUUAUUCGUCUCGCCUCUUCUUUCCAGCUGAACUAUUUCCAAAAGUGCGUGCUCCUGUGGCCCCUCGCCCGGGCACUUUCUUGUCAUCCCCAUCAUUACCUCUGACCCGACUCUUUGUUCGACUUUGUUCUUUAUUAUUCAAAUCGCGUGGCAGCAUCGUGCGGUCUCUUUAAAGAUCCCCCGUCCUUGAUGUUAAAAUCUUCCGUGAAGCUCCCUUGCGUAAUGAUCAGACCGAAUCUUCCUUCCCUUCGCUUUUGAGGACAUCCGUUUGGAUUAAAGCUAAAACCUGUAUUAGCAUGUCGGCACUGUUUCGACGCGAAUUCCCGAUGAAAUCGAUCGAACCCUUUAUCGUUUGCAAAUUAACCAUGAUGGG
rnacentral:lncRNA from 1 species